rnacentral:rRNA from 1 species
CCUACGGGUGGCAGCAGUGGGGAAUUUUGCGCAAUGCUCGUAAGAGUGACGCAGCGACGCCGCGUGAAUGACGAAGGCCUUCGGGUCGUAAAGUUCUGUUGAAGGGGAAAAAGAGCGGAGAGAGGAAAUGGUCUCCGAUUGAUAUUACCCUUCGAGGAAGUCACGGCUAACUACGUGCCAGCAGCCGCGGUAAUACGUAGGUGGCGAGCGUUAUCCGGAAUGAUUGGGCGUAAAGGGUGCGUAGGCGGCCUGCUAAGUCUGGAGUGAAAGGUACCGGCUCAACCGGUACAGGCUCUGGAAACUGGCGGGCUAGAGAGCAGGAGAGGGCGGUGGAACUCCAUGUGUAGCGGUAAAAUGCGUAGAUAUAUGGAAGAACACCAGUGGCGAAGGCGGCCGCCUGGCCUGUUACUGACGCUGAGGCACGAAAGCGUGGGGAGCAAAUAGGAUUAGAUACCCCUGUAGUC